rnacentral:rRNA from 1 species
UACAGAGGUCUCAAGCGUUGUUCGGAUUCAUUGGGCGUAAAGGGUGCGUAGGCGGCGCGGUAAGUCGGGUGUGAAAUCUCGGAGCUUAACUCCGAAACUGCAUUCGAUACUGCGGUGCUUGAGGACUGGAGAGGAGACUGGAAUUCAUGGUGUAGCAGUGAAAUGCGUAGAGAUCAUGAGGAAGACCAGUGGCGAAGGCGGGUCUCUGGGCCGUAACUGACGCUGAGGAGCGAAAGCAUGGGGAGCGAACAGG